AGCGAACGCUGGCGGCAGGCCUAACACAUGCAAGUCGAGCGGACCAAAGAGAGCUUGCUCUCUGAGGUUAGCGGCGGACGGGUGAGUAACACGUGGGUAACCUGCCUGUAAGACGGGGAUAACUUCGGGAAACCGAAGCUAAUACCGGAUGAUAAAGAGAAACGCCUGUUUCUUUUUUGAAAGUCGGCCUUGUGCUGACGCUUACAGAUGGGCCCGCGGCGCAUUAGCUAGUUGGUGAGGUAACGGCUCACCAAGGCGACGAUGCGUAGCCGACCUGAGGGGGUGAUCGGCCACACUGGGACUGAGACACGGCCCAGACUCCUACGGGAGGCAGCAGUAGGGAAUCUUCGGCAAUGGACGAAAGUCUGACCGAGCAACGCCGCGUGAGCGAUGAAGGCCUUCGGGUCGUAAAGCUCUGUUGUCAGAGAAGAACAAGUACCGGAGUAACUGCCGGUACCUUGACGGUACCUGACCAGAAAGCCACGGCUAACUACGUGCCAGCCGCCGCCGUAAUAC
rnacentral:rRNA from 1 species